UUUAUAGGUGUUGCAUAAACUUAAUAAGGAAACCAGUUGGAAUCUGGUACAGCCACCUCUACUGUGAUACUGACGAAAGUAUGAAAACCACUAAAAUAUCAUUAUAUUUUGGGAAGGGUACGAGUAGGAUGAAGUUAGUCAGGAGACUUGCCUAUAUAAUA
rnacentral:ncRNA from 1 species